rnacentral:rRNA from 1 species
UACAGAGGUCUCAAGCGUUGUUCGGAAUCACUGGGCGUAAAGGGUGCGUAGGCGGCGAGGAAAGUCAGAUGUGAAAUCCGAGGGCUCAACCCUCGAAUAGCAUCCGAUACUUCCCCUGCUCGAGAUUUGUAGAGGAGUCUGGAACUCUCGGUGUAGCAGUGAAAUGCGUGGAUAUCGAGAAGAACGCUCGUAGCGAAGGCGAGGCUCUGGGCAAAGUUCUGACGCUGAGGCACGAAGGCUAGGGGGAGCAAAACGGGG